GAUGAACGCUGGCGGCGUGCUUAACACAUGCAAGUCGAACGGAAAGGCCCAAGCUUCCUUCGGUACUCGAGGGGCGAAGGGGGGAGGAACACGUGUGUGAUCUGCCCUGCAUUUCGGGAUAGGCCUGGGUAACUGGGUCUAAGACCGUAUAGGACGCGGGCUUGGGUUCCAUUGUGGAGAUCUUUUUCGGUGUGGGAUGAGUUGGCGGCGUAUAAGCUUUUCGGUGGGGGAAUGGCCUACCAAGCCGUCGACGGGUAGCCGUCCUUUGAGUGUGUAAGUCGACCCUGGGACCGAGAGACGGCAGAGAUUCCUAAGGGAGGAAGAAGUGGGGAAUAUUGAACCAUGCGUGCCAGCCUGAUGCAGAGGCCCCGCGUGGGGGAUGACGGCCUUCGGGUUGUAGACAACCUUCGCUAGGAAAGACGCGUUUUGUGACGGUACCUGGAGAAGAAGCACCGGCUAACUACGUG
rnacentral:rRNA from 1 species